UCGGAAGGCUCGGAGGGCCACUGGGCAGAGAGAAGGGCUUAGCGCGCGGAGGACCGGGUGCGGAGGACCGGGGGAGUUCGGCUACGAGGGUCUCGUCUACGACACGGUGGUGUGGCCGCUUUUUCGCGUCCGGGUCUCAGUCCCUGGGUGUGUCGCCCUUUGCAGCGGCUCCUGUGGAGCUGGGCCUCCUCCGCCUUCUGUUCGCGGGGGCUUGAAGGGCGCCUCCGCAUUUAAGCCUUGCAGGUUGAAUGUCAUUAACCCACUGCUUUCUGGCCUCCAAGAUUGAAGAUGAGAAACCAGCUGAUAAUCUUAUUCAGGAUCCCUUAUGGAGUAGGAAGUGCAAGAAAUCCAUUUCUCUACCUAGACAACAAUUGUACUGGCAGAAACUGUCCGAAGUAACUGUUUUGGAACUCUGGAGUCUACUUGAAUUCUUGCAUCUUUCAAGGGAAAGUUUGGUUGGUAAAUUGAGGUUAAUUUCAGUCAAUGUCAGCCUUUAGUGUAAUAGCACCUCCCUGUUUCCUACCCCUCAACCCUGUGGCAGGCAGCCAUGUUCACAUUCCUGGUGUGGUUUGCUGGAGCUGUGGUGGGAAAUAAGAAUCUUGUUCGCCAAA